rnacentral:misc_RNA from 1 species
UUAAUUAUAAGAUUUGCGAUAUGCUACGGAUUAAGAAUGAGCCGCCACUAAAGUGUCAAAAGCAUAUCUGGUGCAUUGAAUACAAUAAUCCAGUAUCACCUUGGACCAUGUCAUAUGGUCAACGAAAUGACUUGUGACGUUUUACCGCCAUGCGUAUGCGAGAAGAAAUUUGCUGCAACUAUUCCUCUCUUGAUUCGUGGUGAUGUAAUACCACACAACAAUGGUGUUGCCGGUGGUGUUUUAGGUUAACUUAUCGCGAUUCAUGUAAUUUUGUGAUAUUCGGUGUUGUGAAAAAUGGACAAUAGGAUCACUAGAGAUGAUCUUGAUGAGGAGGCGAUUAACAAUGAAAUAUUCAGUGACAUAGAGCCUGUAACCUGGUCGAAUGACGACAGUAACUAUGACUUGGACGACAUCAACAUGUUUUUCCACAGGGUGAACUCAGACCAAAUUAUUUACGAGGAAAAAAAGAAAACGUGUAAAUUAAUUGGCAAAUAUGUCAUGGGGGAUCUUUUGGGGGAAGGGAGUUAUGGUAAAGUCAAAGAGAUGCUCGACUCAGAAACUCUAUGUAGAAGAGCCGUUAAAAUUCUGAAGAAAAAAAAACUUCGUAGGAUACCUAAUGGAGAACUAAAUGUUCAACGGGAAAUACAACUGCUGCGGAUAUUGAAACACCGAAAUGUUAUUGGGCUAGUGGACGUUCUGUAUAAUCAUGAAAAAGAAAAAAUGUAUUUGGUAAUGGAGUUUUGCGUGGGAGGGUUGCAGGAUAUGUUGGAAAGUACACCACAUAAAAGAUUUCCACUAUGGCAAGCACAUGAAUAUUUCAUCCAGUUAAUAGAUGGCUUAGAAUAUCUGCAUGGCAAAGGAAUCGUUCACAAAGAUAUUAAACCGGGAAACUUGCUUUUGACUUUAGAUGGUACCUUAAAAAUCAGUGACUUUGGUGUGGCUGAGGCCCUAGAUAUGUUUGCCAAGGAUGACACGUGUACUGCAGGUCAAGGAUCUCCUGCCUUUCAACCCCCUGAAAUUGCUAACGGCUGUGAUACAUUCGCUGGUUUCAAAGUAGAUAUUUGGAGCAGUGGCGUUACUUUAUAUAAUAUUACAACAGGCGAAUAUCCCUUCGAAGGGGACAAUAUUUACAAGUUAUAUGAGAAUAUUGGAAAAGGUGAAUAUAAAAUACCAGAGGCUGUAGACAGUUCCUUACGAUCACUGUUAGAGGGAAUGCUACAAAAGGAAGUCGAUCGAAGAUUUACGUUGCAGCAGAUCAGACAACAUUCGUGGACAUUAUGGAGACCGCCAAAAACACUGGAAGAAGUCCCUGUGCCACCUCUUAGGGGCGAUGAAUGGCACACUAUGACCGUUCUGCCAUAUCUCAUGGAACACCAUUAUGGCGUCGAAUCAAAUCCCACCUAUUAUACAGAGCAUGAACUUAAUGAUGUAGAACGAAGGGAUGAGCAUUCCACGUCCAACCGCGUUCUAGUAUUCUUCUCUAAGACAUGUGUUAUUCUCUAACAAUGACAUGUGCAUAGCUGAUUUCAUUUUGGAUUCUGGAUUUUCAAUCUGCGAAGAAAGAAAACUCCAAGAAAUGGACAGAAGUAUCGGAAAUCAAAAAGAUGCGUGUAAUA